rnacentral:rRNA from 1 species
UGGGGAAUCUUAGACAAUGGGCGCAAGCCUGAUCUAGCCAUGCCGCGUGAGCGAUGAAGGCCUUAGGGUUGUAAAGCUCUUUCAGUGGGGAAGAUAAUGACUGUACCCACAGAAGAAGCCCCGGCUAACUCCGUGCCAGCAGCCGCGGUAAUACGGAGGGGGCUAGCGUUGUUCGGAAUUACUGGGCGUAAAGCGCACGUAGGCGGACCAGAAAGUAGGGGGUGAAAUCCCGGGGCUCAACGUCGGAACUGCCUUCUAAACUCCUGGUCUUGAGUGCGAGAGAGUUGAGUGGAAGUCCGAGUGUAGAGGUGAAAGUCGUAGAUAUUCGGAGGAACACCAGUGGCGAGGGCGGCUCACUGGCUCGAUACUGACGCUGAGGCGCGAAAGCGUGGGGAGCAAACA